rnacentral:rRNA from 1 species
ACAUGCUUAUAGCAUAGCGUCAAUGCAUCAGAUUCCAUUCGAACUCUGCAGUUAAGUGCGCUCGGGCAAGAGUAGUACUGGGAUGGGUGAUCGCUCAGGAAGUCUUAGUAUUUUACAUGCU